rnacentral:tRNA from 1 species
GGUCCCAUAGCUCAACUGAAUAGAGUACUUGACUACGGAUCAAGCGGUUGAAGGUUUGAAUCCUUCUGGGAUCA